rnacentral:rRNA from 1 species
AGCCCCCAGCAAAAUACAAGUAUUGGGGGUAAUGCCUGCCCAGUGACACUGUUAAACGGCCGCGGUAUCCUAACCGUGCAAAGGUAGCGUAAUCACUUGUCUUUUAAAUAAAGACUAGAAUGAAUGGCCAAACGAGGCUCUACCUGUCUCUCACAAAUAAUCAGUGAAAUUGAUCUUCCUGUGCAAAAGCAGGAAUAAUAUUAUAAGACGAGAAGACCCUGUGGAACUUCAAAUAUAAAAUCAACUGUUACCAAUACCAACUCAACAGACCUAUAAUAAACAGAAUCUGAUUUUUAUUUUAGGUUGGGGCGACCUUGGAGUAAAACAAAACCUCCAAAAAUAAAGAAUUCUUUUAACCUAGAACUACAACUCAAAGUGCUUCCAGCAAAACGAUCCAAUAUAUUUGAUCAACGAACCAAGCUACCCCAGGGAUAACAGCGCAAUCCCAUUUUAGAGUCCCUAUCGACAAUGGGGUUUACGACCUCGAUGUUGGAUCAGGACAUCCUGAUGGUGCAGCCGCUAUCAAGGGUUCGUUUGUUCAACGAUUAACAGUACCU